GAGGGCUUAGCUUAAUUAAAGCGGUUGUUUUGCGUUCAAUUGAUGUGAGAUACGCUCUUGCAGUCCUUA
rnacentral:tRNA from 2 species